rnacentral:rRNA from 1 species
CCUACGGGUGGCAGCAGUGAGGAAUAUUGGUCAAUGGACGAGAGUCUGAACCAGCCAAGUAGCGUGAAGGAUGACUGCCCUAUGGGUUGUAAACUUCUUUUAUAUGGGAAUAAAAUGUUCCACGUGUGGGAUUUUGUAUGUACCAUAUGAAUAAGGAUCGGCCAACUCCGUGCCAGCAGCCGCGGUAAUACGGAGGAUGCGAGCGUUCUUUGGAUUUAUUUGGUGUAAAUGGAGCGUAGGUGGGUUGUUAAGUCAGUUGUGAAAGUUUGCGGCUCAACCGUAAAAUUGCAGUUGAAACUGGCAGUCUUGAGUACAGUAGAGGAGGGCGGAAUUCGUGGUGUAGCGGUGAAAUGCUUAGAUAUCACGAAGAACUCCGAUUGCGAAGGCAAUUCACUGGACUGCAACUGACACUGAGGCUCGAAAGUGUGGGUAUCAAACAGGAUUAGAUACCCUAGUAGUC